ensembl:lncRNA
GGGGUGUGUGUGUGUGUGGGGGGGGUGUGUGUGUGUGUGUGGAGUGUGUGUGUGUGGGGAGUGUGUGUGUGAUAGUCGAUGGAAUUGCCUCACACACUGACGGUGGAUCAAGGUUGUAAAGAACGACACAAUAAAUCAUGGCAGUGAGAUAUGAAGCUUUCUGAGUCCAAAAUGACACCCUGAUGGUAGUGAACCAUGUAUGGAAUAGGGUUCACUAUCUCCUAAUGCCAGGACCAUUGCAGAGAACAGAUAGCAGGACUCUUCUGCGGUUCUUCUGGCUUGAUCAAGAGAGAGAGAUGAGGGCUUAAUAUAGCGGUAAUUGAAAGCUUGAACCUGUGUGUGUAUGUGUGUGAGAGAGUGUGUAUGUGACUGUUUGUGGACAUCUAUGCCCUGAGUUAAUCCGUUUUUUUUUCAUUGGAUCAACAAGUCACAUUCUGUCAGCACAGAGGAAUGAAACUAAGUGACAUCAUAUCCUCCUUGUCUCAGUCCUCUUAGCCACAGUGUGAUGAGAUGCCUUCCCACCAGCCAGCUAGUGUAAGACAGAGUCAGUGGUAAUGUGGAGACUCUACUAAGGUGAUUUUGAGAGUCUGGCUGCAAUGUUAUUGCUUCAGAAGGGUUUCUGUAAAUUAUAGCCUCCUGUCAGUCAGCCAGCCAGAUCCCCCAGCAUGCCUAUGUAUGUCUUUUUCUGUUCUAUGAAAACCUAUGAACACACAGAGCCUGCAGCCCAAAAACCCUGUGCAGCAGAGCUCUAGAUGAAGCGUAAAGGGAGGAGGGAGUAGAGAUGGAGGAGGGGGAGGUGCAGGGUAAUAAUGACCAUGACUCAGCACUUUACACCUCCACUUAAAGACUUCACCCACCACCAACUGUUGUUAAGAGUUGUCUGUGUUGUUAAGAGUUGUCUGUGAUAUUAAGAGCUGUCUGUGUUGUUAAGAGUUGUCUGUGUUUUAGCAGCUGUCUGUGUUGUUAAGAGCUGUCUGUGUUGUCAGGAGCUGUCUGUGUUUUCAGGAGCUGUCUGUGUUUUAGCAGCUGUCUGUGUUGUUAACUAGUGAAUCAUGUGGUGUUUAUGGAUAUAGUGGAGGGGUCAGAUUGUUCUGUCUCUCUUCCAGGGCACUGCAGCCCUAUCAUGGUCCCAGCUGUGGAAUACCUGCUGCCUGCGCCACUAUAUAUCCAACCAGCAAUCAAAUAGACAGCAAAUAGUUAACGAACCAGCCAAUCAAAUAGCCAGGAAACAGUCAUUUAACCAGCCAGUCAGUCAAAUAGCCAGACAAACAAAUGGACCAACACUCAGCCAGCCAACCAGGGAACAGCUGGGACCAGUUAACCAGUCAACCAGCCAGUCAAACAGCCAGUCAACCAGCCAGUCAACAGGGAACAGCUGGGACCAGUUAACCAGUCAAACAGCCAGUCAACCAGGGGAACAGCUGGACCAGUUAACCAGUCAACCAGCCAGUCAACCAGCCAGUCAACCAGCCAGUCAACCAGGGAACAGCUGGGACCAGUUAACCAGUCAACCAGCCAGUCAACCAGCCAGUCAACCAGCCAGUCAACCAGCCACUGAACAAAGAAAGGUAGUGGAUGUGUGAUUCACAGCCCCAGAUAUAGAAUAUCACCUCCUUCUCCUCCCUGCAGUGGAUUUCCUGGAAGAGGGCUUCUGAGAUGGCUUUGGGGAGAAGUGGAGGAUCUGGUUCUUAAAAGCUCUUUUUUCUCUCUCAAUUGCUCUUUUUCUCCUUUCUUUCUUUCUUUCUUCAGCUCUCUAUUUUACUCUCUCUGUUCACAGCUGAAUACAUGAAUGUACAGAAUUGUAUAUGAUGAAAAUAAAUAAAAAUAAAAAUCUGUAUGUGGAAAUGUGACGUAUUCCCACAGACAGUCUGUAAUUAACCAAUUUGAGUCAAUGCUUUUAACAAGCAUGAGGUCAACUUCCUGCUUUGAAGUCAAAGGUGAACCAGAUGAGUUAACCACCUCCUGUGCCACUCCAAAUUAGAUUUUUAUGAAGGAUUUUGGCAUGUGUAGUUUUUUGAGCAUGGAAUUACUCACAGUUGACAUUCAAUAAGUGCAGAGGAUUUUGUAGUAUUUUUAGUUGCAUUGCUGACUUUAAAGUGGGUUUAGUAUGUAAAGGGGAAACUGCACACUGUACCCUCAACCUACUUUAAAACACAAUGUGUGUAGUGAUAUGUCUCUGUGGCCUUUCUUGUCUGCAAAACACCCCAGGAGAGAAAAAGAGGAAGAGUAGAGGAUGACAAGAUGGAGGACAAAGAGAGGGAGGAAAUUAGUAAGGAAUAGAGUAUAAAAGGGGAAGGGGGAGGAGAGUAAUGGAGGUAGG